rnacentral:rRNA from 1 species
CCCCUAGUAACUGCGAGUGAAGCGGGAAAAGCUCAAAUUUAAAAUCUGGCAGUCUUUGAUUGUCCGAGUUGUAAUCUAGAGAAGUGUUAUCCGCGUUGGACCGUGUACAAGUCUCCUGGAAUGGAGCAUCAUAGAGGGUGAGAAUCCCGUCUUUGACACGGACUACCAGUGCUUUGUGAUGCGCUCUCAAAGAGUCGAGUUGUUUGGGAAUGCAGCUCAAAAUGGGUGGUAAAUUCCAUCUAAAGCUAAAUAUUGGCGAGAGACCGAUAGCGAACAAGUACCGUGAGGGAAAGAUGAAAAGAACUUCGGAAAGAGAGUUAAACAGUACGUGAAAUUGCUGAAAGGGAAACGCUUGAAGUCAGUCGCGUUGGCUGGAAAUCAACCUUGCUUUUGCUGGGCGUACUUUCUAGUCAAUGGGUCAGCAUCAAUUUUGACCAUUGGAAAAAGUGUAGAGGAAUGUGGCAUCUUCGGAUGUGUUAUAGCCUUUGCUCGCAUACAGUGGUUGGGAUUGAGGAAUUCAGCAGGGAAAAAA